UACGUAGGGUGCAAGCGUUGUCCGGAAUUAUUGGGCGUAAAGAGCUCGUAGGCGGUUUGUCGCGUCUGCUGUGAAAACUCGGGGCUUAACCCCGGGCCUGCAGUGGGUACGGGCAGACUAGAGUGCGGUAGGGGAGACUGGAAUUCCUGGUGUAGCGGUGAAAUGCGCAGAUAUCAGGAGGAACACCAACGGCGAAGGCAGCUCGCUGGGACGGAACUGACGCUAAGGCGCGAAAGCGUGGGGAGCAAACAGG
rnacentral:rRNA from 1 species